CACGUAGGGGGCGAGCGUUGUCCGGAAUCAUUGGGCGUAAAGAGCUCGUAGGCGGUUUGUUGCGUCGGCUGUGAAAUCCCGAGGCUCAACCUCGGGUCUGCAGUCGAUACGAGCAAACUAGAGUGUUGCAGGGGAGACUGGAAUUCCUGGUGUAGCGGUGAAAUGCGCAGAUAUCAGGAGGAACACCGGUGGCGAAGGCGGGUCUCUGGGCAACAACUGACGCUGAGGAGCGAAAGCGUGGGGAGCGAACAGG
rnacentral:rRNA from 1 species